GACGAACGCUGGCGGCGUGCUUAACACAUGCAAGUCGAACGGAAAGGCCCUGCUUUUGUGGGGUGCUCGAGUGGCGAACGGGUGAGUAACACGUGAGUAACCUGCCCUUGACUUUGGGAUAACUUCAGGAAACUGGGGCUAAUACCGGAUAGGAGCUCCUGCUGCAUGGUGGGGGUUGGAAAGUUUCGGCGGUUGGGGAGGGACUCGCGGCUUAUCAGCUUGUUGGUGGGGUAGUGGCUUACCAAGGCUUUGACGGGUAGCCGGCCUGAGAGGGUGACCGGCCACAUUGGGACUGAGAUACGGCCCAGACUCCUACGGGAGGCAGCAGUGGGGAAUAUUGCACAAUGGGCGGAAGCCUGAUGCAGCAACGCCGCGUGAGGGAUGACGGCCUUCGGGUUGUAAACCGCUUUCGCCUGUGACGAAGCGUGAGUGACGGUAAUGGGUAAAGAAGCACCGGCUAACUACGUG
rnacentral:rRNA from 1 species